GACGAACGCUGGCGGCGUGCCUAAUACAUGCAAGUAGAACGCUGAAACUUGGUGCUUGCACCGAGCGGAUGAGUUGCGAACGGGUGAGUAACGCGUAGGUAACCUGCCUGGUAGCGGGGGAUAACUAUUGGAAACGAUAGCUAAUACCGCAUAAGAGUAGAUGUUGCAUGACAUUUGCUUAAAAGGUGCAAUUGCACCACUACCAGCUGGACCUGCGUUGUAUUAGCUAGUUGGUGGGGUAACGGCUCACCAAGGCGACGAUACAUAGCCGACCUGAGAGGGUGAUCGGCCACACUGGGACUGAGACACGGCCCAGACUCCUACGGGAGGCAGCAGUAGGGAAUCUUCGGCAAUGGACGGAAGUCUGACCGAGCAACGCCGCGUGAGUGAAGAAGGUUUUCGGAUCGUAAAGCUCUGUUGUAAGAGAAGAACGAGUGUGAGAGUGGAAAGUUCACACUGUGACGGUAUCUUACCAGAAAGGGACGGCUAACUACGUG
rnacentral:rRNA from 1 species